rnacentral:misc_RNA from 1 species
AAGUCGUAACAAGGUUUCCGUAGGUGAACCUGCGGAAGGAUCAUUACCGAGUUAGGGUCUCCUCCGUGAGGCCCGACCUCCCAACCCUGUGUCUAUCGAACCUGUAUGUGUUGCUUCGGCGGAACGGCAGUUUGCCCGCCCCCUUUCACGGGGGACUGUGGAGACCGUCGCCGGGGGCAUUCCAGCGGUCUCACGACCGUCCCCUGGAGAGCGUCCGCCGAUGGCCCAACCAAACAAACUCCCAAACCAAAAAGUUAUAGUAUAAACAACUUCUGAAUCAGACCUUUUUGAUAUACCAAUCAAAACAAAA